rnacentral:rRNA from 1 species
UACGUAGGGUGCAAGCGUUGUCCGGAAUUAUUGGGCGUAAAGAGCUCGUAGGCGGCUCGUCGCGUCGACCGUGAAAACCCGCGGCUUAACUGCGGGCUUGCGGUUGAUACGGGCGGGCUAGAGUUCGGUAGGGGAGACUGGAAUUCCUGGUGUAGCGGUGAAAUGCGCAGAUAUCAGGAGGAACACCGAUGGCGAAGGCAGGUCUCUGGGCCGAUACUGACGCUGAGGAGCGAAAGCGUGGGGAGCGAACAGG